rnacentral:rRNA from 1 species
UACGGAGGGUGCAAGCGUUGCUCGGAAUUAUUGGGCGUAAAGGGUAGGUAGGUGGUCUCAUUUGUCUGGGGUGAAAGCCUUGAGCUUAACUCAAGAAGUGCCCCAGAGACGGUGAGACUGGAGUCCUGGAGAGGGUCGUGGAAUUCCCGGUGUAGCGGUGAAAUGCGUAGAGAUCGGGAGGAACACCAGAGGCGAAGGCGGCGACCUGGACAGGUACUGACACUCAACUACGAAAGCGUGGGGAGCAAACAGG